CGAUAUUAACAUCACGGAACAAACUGGAUAAUUUUAUUUUAUUUCUCGUUAUUUUUUUUUGAACAGCAUCAACUAUUCACGUUUCUUCUUCUUUUUUCACCACUAUUUAAAAAUCACUCAACAAAACCAAAAAAACAUCCGGAAUACGUAGUUACGCAACAUCAAACAAAUAAUAAUACAAAAAAAGACGCACGAUACAUUUAACAUUAAUCACACAAAAAAAUUACUAAGUGAAAUUUCUGCCUAAACUCAUGCUCCCUCCGUCCUAUUGAUAAUAAUUUAUAUAUUUUUCUUUUUCUAUUUGUCCUAUUAAUAAUAACUUGUUCCAAAAAA
rnacentral:lncRNA from 1 species